rnacentral:misc_RNA from 1 species
CGCCGCCUAUCCCAUGUUAAGUCCUUCGUGAGGCCUUUCCCCUCUCCAGGGUUAUCAUCCACCGCUGCCUUUGAAGUUCGCUUUCCCUUGAAUACUCCCCACAAAUAAAAUUUUGCCUGGAAUCUCCAAAACUCCAUUGGCAGUAUUCUAGAAGUGAAAAUCAGUAGUUCUGCAUUUUGAACAUCCACUCUCAUGGCCAGUUCUUGGCUGAUCAUCUCAUUCACUAGACUAUCAAAAACCUUUUCAUUCCUUUCACUGUCUGGAAAAAAAUAAAGAGCAA